GACAGAGGGGGCAAGCGUUGUUCGGAAUUACUGGGCGUAAAGGGCUCGUAGGCGGCCAACUAAGUCAGACGUGAAAUCCCUCGGCUUAACCGGGGAACUGCGUCUGAUACUGGAUGGCUCGAGUUUGGGAGAGGGAUGCGGAAUUCCAGGUGUAGCGGUGAAAUGCGUAGAUAUCGGGAAGAACACCCGUGGCGAAGGCGGUUCUCUGGGACGGUACUGACGCUGAGACGCGAAAGCGUGGGGAGCGAACAGG
rnacentral:rRNA from 1 species